rnacentral:rRNA from 1 species
UCUUUUUAUUGUGUGCCAGCCGCCGCGGUAAUACGGAAGGUCCGGGCGUUAUCCGGAUUUAUUGGGUUUAAAGGGAGCGUAGGCCGGAGAUUAAGCGUGUUGUGAAAUGUAGACGCUCAACGUCUGCACUGCAGCGCGAACUGGUUUCCUUGAGUACGCACAAAGUGGGCGGAAUUCGUGGUGUAGCGGUGAAAUGCUUAGAUAUCACGAAGAACUCCGAUUGCGAAGGCAGCUCACUGGAGCGCAACUGACGCUGAAGCUCGAAAGUGCGGGUAUCGAACAGG